rnacentral:rRNA from 1 species
ACCAAGAAGAUGUGCGUUGAGUGAAGUGCUCACACAGAUUGUCUGAUGAAAAUAACGAGCAGAAAUACCUUAAUAGGCUUGUAGCUCAGGUGGUUAGAGCGCACCCCUGAUAAGGGUGAGGUCGGUGGUUCAAGUCCACUCAGGCCUACCAACUCUUCCGUGAGUGGUAUCUAAGGUAUCUGUAAGCAACGAUGGGGUUAUAGCUCAGCUGGGAGAGCGCCUGCCUUGCACGCAGGAGGUCUGCGGUUCGAUCCCGCAUAGCUCCACCAUCACUACUCGCUGUAUAGAAAAUUUCAGAGUGUACCUGUUUGGGUGCACUGCGAAGUUUUGCUCUUUAACAAUCUGGAACAAGCUGAAAAUUGAAACAUGACAGCUGAACAAUUAUGACCGCCUUCGGGUGUGUCGUGAUGAAUCAGUCUGUCAAUGAGUCUCUCAAAUAAUCGCAGCGCGAUGAUGAAUCAAUCGAAACAUCUUC